UAGGGAAUCUUCCGCAAUGGGCGAAAGCCUGACGGAGCAACGCCGCGUGAGUGAUGAAGGUCUUCGGAUCGUAAAACUCUGUUAUUAGGGAAGAACAAAUGUGUAAGUAACUAUGCACGUCUUGACGGUACCUAAUCAGAAAGCCCCGGCUAACUACGUGCCAGCAGCCGCGGUAAUACGUAGGUGGCAAGCGUUAUCCGGAAUUAUUGGGCGUAAAGCGCGCGUAGGCGGUUUUUUAAGUCUGAUGUGAAAGCCCACGGCUCAACCGUGGAGGGUCAUUGGAAACUGGAAAACUUGAGGGCAGGAGGGGAAAGUGGAAUUCCAUGUGUGGCGGUGAAAUGCGCAGAGAUAUGGAGGAACAACAGUGGCGAAGGCGACUUUCUGGUCUGUAACUGACGCUGAUGUGAGAAAGCGUGGGGAUCAAACAGG
rnacentral:rRNA from 1 species